UUGUGUUCCAUUGGCUUUGUGAUAGGAACCUGUCAAUUGAGACUGUAACUCUGUGAUAUGAGAAUAAAGGCUUACCCUAGGUAAUAAAUUUUCUUGAUCAAUCUUAGACAAUGGUCACUUUGUUUCUUUGUUGGGUAAGUGAAUUUUCUACAUAAACUGUCUGGGGUAAACUUUUGUCUACAACUGGCUUUGUGUUAGUACUGUUCUGGUGAUGCUUUGGCUUUUUAUAUGGUUUCUUUUUGAUUCUCAGUGCGUGCUUUUUGUGUUGACUAACCUCAUGUGGAGAGUUGAUUUUGAAGCAGAUAGUUGAUGUGCUACUGGACACCGACAACACUUGGAGAAAACCUCAGUACAACAUGGCACCAGAGCUCCCACUGAUUCUACAUUUUUGCAAAUUCGAAAGUGUCAACUUUAUUUGUUCAUCAGGUUUCUAAUCUGCAUCUUUAUCUUAAUUAUUAGAGGAUAUUUUACUUAUGAGCAAUCUUUGACACAUAAAUAUGAGUACUUUUCUCAGCAAGCAUAUAUUUUGUCACUUUAGAUGGUUAUUGAAUUAGCUGAUAUCCCAUGUUUUGUCAGCUGAAAUCGAUCAUGAUUCUCUUAGUUGAAAUGCUUUCCUAAGUUAUUGUCGCAAUUGAUAACUGUUUAGAAUCUAUGUUAGCAUGAUUUAAGAGAAUGAGUGAUUCAUUUGUAAGAUUAAUACUUGAGUAAAAAUUAGCAAUACUUACCAAAUUCAACAUUUAGAGGGGCAUUGUACACAGCGUAUUUGGUGGCUAGUAAUUUAGAACAGCAAAAUUGAAGAGUUAUUUAAUGGUGAUGAGUUCAUGCGAAUGAGAAUAGUAUAUGAAAUGAUGCAAGGAUAUUGGUCAAUAAGACUAGUUUUUGAGGGGUAAAGAAUGUGAUGAAAAUGAUGGAGGAAAGAGUUGUCAACAAUUUUGGAAGACUUGAUGAAUCAUAUAAGGUGAUCUGAAUGGCUGCAUGAGGAAGUAAAGAGUUAGGAAUUCGGAGAUAAAUGGUACACAGAGGCUAAGCUGUAGGAUGUGAUCAGAGAUUGAACUUUCAGUCUUAAGGCUUUACAAUCUGAUUCUUGCAAAUAUGUAUUUUAAGUAGUGUGCUGAGCAUUCGGCAACUUUUAUUAGUUCGUGAAAUGUGUUGCAUAGAUAAUUCUUUUCUGAAGAAUAAGAUAGAACAAGAACAGUAUUGGAAGAUUCUAAAAUUACAUGAGGGAACUUACCAUAUAAAUUAGAUUGCUUGAUUUGCUGUACCUAUUUAUUUUUCUGAGUCAUUGAUAUUUUUUCUGAAUAUUUUUUACAUUUUAAAUAUUGUUAUGGUAACCUGUACUUAAAAUGAACACAUUUGGAGGAAGAAAAGAAACUUUACAGCAGAAAAUGUAUGGGGGGGCAAUGAAAAACAACCUACAAUAUAUGACACGAAAUCAGCUGGCAAGGUGUACAGAACUGCACCUAAAAAAGUUUUUGGAAAAAUUAUGGGCAAGUGUCAUACUUGUCAAGUAACUUGGCAUUGCAAUGUGAUGGUCAAAAAUUGAAGUAGGAUAUAAAAAAGUCGCUGUUUAAGAAAUGCUGAAGAAAAAAUAGCAUAACUGAAGUAUAAAACCUACUAAGUUGAAACGGUUAUGUGAUAAUUUAUGCAUCUUCUGAUGAUUUGCACAUUUUGUUGCACUUAAAUGAGGUGAGUAGGAAUUAUAUAAAUUUGCUAGCAUCCUAAAAACCAGAUAUAUAGAUCAUAUUACAAAUUAUGAUUUUGAGGAGAGAGGGUAAGAUCAAGAGGAAUUGGUGAUUGUAGUUCAGAGUAUGCAAAUAAGAACUCCAUUAGAGGAAUAAUGAAGGAUCGCAUUUAGGAGGAUGCAUGUGUACCACCUUUAGUUGCUAAAAUUAGGAGUGGGUGUGAGUGCAGGCAAUUGGAUACUUCGAAACAUUUUUAGUGAGGUAGCAUUUAGGAAGUCAAUGAUCCAGCCAGUCACAUCUACAUACACAUGCUGGUGUGGUGGUUUUGGGGCGGGGGUGGGAAACUAUAUCCUACCACUUAAUUUGUGCAUUAUUAUCAGAAUCAUGUAAUUACGUGCUGUCAGUUGUAGUUCUGCUGUGACUUAUUUUUAGCUCUUUGUACUUGAGAAAGUUCAGUCUCUUUCAUCAAAUAUCAUCACAUGCUUCUGUUGCUAAGCUGUCUCCCAUUAUUACCAGUGACUAAAGUUGCACUUAUGAUGAUAGGUUCCAGUGUUAGGAAAAAAAAUAUUCAAUUAGAGAUGCUUCUUAGUUGAUAAUUUCAGUUACUGGUUUUGUAGCUUCUCUUAAAGUAGCAUACAAGUAACAUUGGCUUUACUUGUUAUCAUGGUUCCAUUUUUAUUAUACAUAUGUCUUCCUCUAUUUCAUCAUUUUGGAGUAACUUCUAUAAGUUUGAGUGAAUGGGUUAUGGUUCAUGAAUCUCACAUUCAUGAUGUUGGUUAUCUGAAAAAUUUUCUAAUUGAUAGUAUGUAUGGUUUAUGACUGGAUUACUCUAGAUGCCAGCCGAGUUUUGCAUGAACACUUGAAGAAUGAAUUCCGGAGUUACAUGAUGCAAGCAGCCAUAUUUCAUGAGGCCCUGGGUUGUUUACCCAUUCCAGGUGUGUAUGAUUUUCAUAGCCUCCCCCCCCCCCCCCUUCUUCUCCCGGGGUUCCCCUUUCUUGGUUUGUCAUUUAUUAGUCUUAUGAAUUCAAUGAAACUGCAUAUUAGUCUUAUGAAUUCAAUGAAACUGCAGAUGGGAGCUCAGCAGAAGCUGGUAGGAAGAAAAAAGGUCAUAUUCCUCUCAUGCUGAGUCCAACAGAGCGUAAGUCCAACUGAUUAUUUUAAUUCAAACUUGGGACACAAUGCUAUCUGAAUACUAUUAAUGAAUUUACUCUUGCUUUGUGGGACAUGAUUAUUGCUUAUUAUUGCUUUGGUCAUAGUCUAACGAGCUUCUUUAAGAUGCAUUAUAACUGUAUAAUCAAUACGUCGCUCUGUUAAGGUUCCUUGUUAUUUUGAUCAUGUCUUUCUGUCUGAGACUAUAAAUUGGAUGGUCAAGCCAAAGAAUCUAUCACAGUUAAUCUUUUAGCUGAGUUAAGGUGUGCCCUAUUGUUAGAAGGAAGGCCAGGAGCCAUCAUUUUGUCCAGUGUUUGUGGGAAGGUUGGAAUUGGGAACAUAUCGACUAAAGGAACUCAAUAGAUCAGUAUAACAAUGUGCAUCUAAGAUUAUAUAUUGCUGGAUUGGUUCUCCAUGUGACUGGUCAAACGUGGAGAUCAGCAGCAAUUUCACUUAUCUUUUUGCAGCUGAUUCAUCUCCUGAUCUUAGUUGUUUCCCUUUUCAUGUGCUCUACACAUUUGAAAUACGACUGGUAUUCAUCCAGCAUCAUAUGAUGAACGGCGGGCCAAAUUGAAUGCAAAGGCUACUCAUAAGAGCUUACCAAAUUACCUUGACAAACGAAAUCAUGAAGCAAACUAAUUUAUGCAGCUCUAGUCAAUUCGAUUUCAUUUCCUGUAAGUUGGCUUACUUAAUAAGUUAUUUACAUGCUAUCGUUUACUUGUUUAAAUUAUUUACAUGCUAUUGUUUACUUGCAUAUAUUUUUGGAUUUUGUGUGGCUUGUUUGUAUUCAACACAUGAUUUUUAUGGGUUGUCUAAAUGCCUGCUGAUAUCACAGAAGUCAUCUACAUGCAGUUCUGCAAGUUUUAUUUUCACAGCAAGUGGAACAUGCAUACAUUCACUAUCGGUUUUAGUCAGUUGCUGACCUUCUUGGUAUAGUCUCUUGGUGGAUGUACCAAUGACUUGGGUUCAACUCCUGCCUUCACUAGGGCUUUGGGGUUUCACAGAAGGGCUAUCCCUGUUUUGUAACCAAUCACCUACUGUUGAUACGGAUUAACUGAAAGGAAUAGAAUGUUUUGAUGCGUGAUUGCUACAUGCAUAUAUCAUCAGAAGAGUUUAAUUACUAAAAAAUUUCCAUUCUAUAUCUCAUGUAGUGAAUCAGCAAUGCACUAUUAUAUUAAGUGACAUUAAAAAACACAACAAUUUGCUGAAAGCAUGCUGCGCAAACUAUCAACAAAAAUUGUUGGGAAUUGUGUCCCAAANNNNNNNNNNNNNNNNNNNNAAAGUAGAGGGCUUGUAGAUCCAGGCCUCGCAGAGCUACCUUCAGGGAUCUAGAUCCAGAUCCAGAUUCAAAUUACCUCGACCAACUUCCGCUACGGCCUUGAGGUAAUUUUACACAAAAGUUAAAUUUAAUAUUUAUAAUUGUUAUAAAUAAAAUAAAAAAAUUAAAACUGAUUUUUCAUGCCUGGCGUUCGAUUUUAUCGGACAACUCGGGAAAUUUUUCCUUCAAAAAGUUGGUAAAAUGAGGCGGGAAAUGCUAGACUCAAUCUGUCUGUGUAGCAGCAAGGUAAAGAGAGGGCUAGCCCACUACUACAUUGCUAAGUUGGGCUAACAUAGGAUUAAUCAGUGAUGCCCCUUUUCUGGUAGUUGGAAUAUAGUAGGUAAGACUGUAUACAAAAGGAUAGUCUUCAGCUCGGCUGCAGUCAUUCCCACCUUAUCAAUAUUUCAGUCACAUCUUGCAAGAAAUAGUUUGCAAGGGAAAUAAGACUCGAUCUUUUUAUAGUCCUGUGUUCAUUGAUAUAAUUUAAUCUUGGAUGGUUAAACCUUAGCACUUACACAUCCAGUCAAUUUAUUUGAGUAUUCCUAAAAGUGCAUCAUUCCUCCUCCUCCUCAUCAUCAUCACCACCCAAGCUCUAUCCCAUCAAAAUGGGAUCUAUUUGAAGCAGGACUCAAAGUUGAAAAGGCUCAUUAAAUUGAACAGAUUUUCCAAUUAGUUGUCUACCUGAUUUCUACCAUCUUUAGGAAUUGGUGCUAAAUUUCAAUUCAUGGUAAAUCCAGUCAAGAAAGAGGCUUGCAACGAAACCUAUGUAGCUAGUUGGCAGCAGGGAAUUCUACCUUACCAGUUGCAGUUUAAACUCAUGCAACCAAGGAGCACACCUCAAAAAUUUUCCUAAACUUGAAAAGAGUCUAGACAGAUUUGAGGAUAAGUUUUGGUGGAGAAAGUCAUUUCAUCUCAAAGACACAGGUAAGGUAAAGGACCAAUAAAUACCAUUGCUCAUUAUCUGAAUUAGUCAAAUAGUAGGCAUGUCAUUCUUCUUCACACUCAAUGAAACCAGUGAUCUAAUUAGAUAAUUAGAUGCUAAGAUGUAUCUGCUGAUAUAACUGUAACUCUCACGUACUGACCGCUGUUUUUGAUUUCCUUGUAUUGGUUAAGCCAAGGACUUAUUAGAUUGUAUUCUUCCUGGUUAUUUUUUUUGUUACUGAAGUAUCCUCGCUGUGUAACUUCUUGGAUUGCUGAGUGGCUUUCUUGUACAGAUGAUGAUGGAAACCCCUAUCAUUUCCCAGCCUGGGGCAAGGACCAGCAGUUUCAGCACCAUCUGAAGUGCAAGUGAAGUCAUUGUGAUGAUUAACUGGCCUAAAAAACAAUAUGGAUCCAAGGGAGGUCCAUUAUGGUGCUUGUAUCAUUACCAAAACCAUCUUCCCUUCAUCUGAAAGUUUGUUUCAAGCUAAGCGAGAUGAAACAACCAUAGUUAUAAUUAUUCUGAAGCUAAGUAGUCCACUAAAAUUCAUUGUCCAUAUGAGUUACUUUAGUUGUGUUCAAGCACAUGCCAAGCUUGCAAAUUAUGUCAUUAAAGCAGGCAGGUGGCUGCUAUUUUCUUUAAGAUUGUGCCCUUGCAAACAUGUUGUCCAUUGCAUCUCUCCUCCAUAUUUUCUAGAACCAGAACAAUAUUAAGAAUUAUUUUUACAAGGUCGAACUUUCUGAUCGUUGCGUCUGGAAAAGAGGUUGAUUAACCAUAUCUACUUGAAUUUCUUUCGAAAAAUAUGUUUAGAUGAAUAUAUAUGUAAUACAAGUGUUUUGAGUCAAGUGAAGUGGAUUUAGCCCUGUAUAUGUUAUUUGUUCUCACGUGGUAGACAUUGUGGUCUUGGCAUGACAAUAGAGAAAUAGAAUUAAAAAGGGAAAUGAAGGGAAGGAAAAAUGUGAAUAAAGAGUGAAUAUAUAGUAAUAAUGAAGUAAAUAUUGUGUAAUCAUGAUAUAUUCAGAUUUUAAUUUAUUGGUUCAUGCCAAUCGUAAACCUGAAUCAACGUUCCCAACGGUUAAAUAAAAAAAAAGAAGAUAGGCUAUCGUAAAACAAAAUGAAACAAGAUAAAAUAAUUAAUAUUUUCCAGACAUAAAUAACUAAUGUUUGAGAUAAUUAUGAGUGAUCCAAAAAAAUCUCAUGAUUUUUGUUUAAGAAAUAGUAGGAUCAAACUGCCUAAUGAAAUUUUUUAUCUUGAUAUUUUCAUGAAUUUUCUGAAUCAUAUAAUAAUGUAGAAAUAAUAUAGCAAUCAUGAAAUGAACUUAGGAUGCCAGUGUUGUUAUAAUUUGAUACUUAGGAUGCCAGUGUUGUUAUAAUUUGAUGUGCUCGAUCCGUUUGUUCUAGUCUUUCACUGACAAAGACUAGAAUAGGUGAUGUACCUUCCACUGCAUGACCCAUCCAUUUCUAUGCUUCUUUCAAUAAUUAAAGAACUGUAAGUUCUGAGAGCUUUCCGGCCUCAACGUUUCUUUCCAGGACCGUUUGUUUUGGGGCCUUUUGAUGCGUGUCUUGGAAUGGUUCCUUUGGCGCUUUUCCCAAGCACCGAAACGCGGAUCUUUCAAAUAACGAGUGCAAAGGGGAAUGACCAGACUACCCUCCACCCUUAAGCUUACCGUUCCUCUAUCCAUUUUCCAAAAUAAAUUAAAGAUGGGAAUUGAGAGAACAAAUGUUUGUUGGAUUGUGCUCCAUAUAUAGGUUGAUCUGAAAACCAAUAACUCAUGUAAGUUGAUUCUAAAACCAUGUUUUGGUUUUGGCCAUGGAAACACAUUUGGAUAAAAGCUUUAAUAAUAGCCCAAAAUAACCUAUUAACAUGUAUUGAAAGUUGAAGUUUUGGCUAUGAUUGGUACCUAUUUAGCCUUAUAAAUUUGACACUGAAUUAGUGCUAUAAUCCUAAAAAGUAUAAUUUAGAUUUUAGUUUAAAAGAGAAGAGUAGGAGAAAGCAAAUUUGUAAUCUACUAUAUCCAACAACUGCUAGUGUCACACAAACAAUUGCGGCCAAUUCAGUAGCACUCUAAACUUAGUUUAAAUAAAGAUGUAUCGAUCAACAAUGCAAACAUCAUGGGAAGUAUAUUUUGCAUUUUAUGUGACAAGAAAGUAAAGAAUGGAUAGAAAAAUUUGAGAGCUACAAAGCUACAAAAUAUUUGUGCGAUUUUUUUUAAAAAAUUUAACUAAAUAAUAGUUAUUUAUAAGAUAAUUGAAAUAUAGAUGGCAUGAGCCAAAAAAAAAAUGAAGAAAGGGCGAAUAAAAGUAAACUUUGGAUGUCUGAAUUAAAUCAUUUGAGUAUAUCUAUUAACAAGUUGUUAAAAAUGCCUAAGAAUUUGUUUAUGCAUAUUUAAGUUUUAGUUUAUGAAUAAGGUGCAAAUAAUUGUGCACCACCCACACCAUUUUUGUUUUUCCUGAAAUAUCAUUGUCAUUGCCUUUUAUUUAAUUUCCUUUUUUUUAAUCUAAUUAAUUAAAACAUAAAGCUUGGGUAAAAUUCUCAGAAUCCAAAAGCCAUUGCCAUAAGCUCUUAGUGGGACUGUCAACAGGGCGGCUCCCGCGAGGGAAACUCGGAUCAAACAACGGCUCCCUUUCCUCUCUCUCUCUCUCUUCUCUUGCGUUCUCUUUCCCCAAAAAGAGAAGAAGACAACCCCUCCUCCCCUCUUUGUUCUCUCUUCCCCAGAUCCUUCGCCAGAAACAGAGAGUUCGUGAGAGAGAGAGAUCUGCGCAUAGAGAUCGAGAUGGAGGCGGCGAUGGAUCUGAUGCGGAGAAUCUCGCCGAACCAGAGCGAGAUGGCGCUGUCGGCACUGCUGUCCCUCCUCCCCCACCACUCCACCGACCUCCUCUCCCAAGUUGACCAGCCCCUCCAGGUCCUCCUCUUUUCUUUUCUUAAUUCUUACUGCUUUUCUCCGAUCUGAUUCCAAUCGGGGGUUUUCUUGAUCCGAGUCCAGUCCGUGCUUGAUAGCUAUCUAUCUCUCGAUCUAUACGAAGUUCGAUCUUGUCUGAGUGGCUUCUUUCUUUUGUCUCUCUGUGUUAUAAUUCAAUCAAAGUUUUCGUUUCUUUUUUGUUUUGGGAAGAUUUUAUGAGCUCUGACUUAGUUUCAAGUAGAAAAAUGAAUCCUUUUAUCCGAUUUUUUUGGACGAAUUUGAAGGAUUUUUUUUUUUGUAUAGAAAUAUGUUUUCUCAGAGGGCCCUGUCGGUAGUUUGGGGAUCUCUCGUCUCUUUUGAAAAAGGGUUUGUGACUAUUUUCUUCUCUUCUUUGUGUUUUGAGUAUAAUACAUGGGGAACAAAUUAUCUGGAAUUGUGUAUUUCGUGCUGUUUUUUCUUUUUUGAAGCUGGGUUUGAAAAAUUUUAGAUUUUUUGGAUUAUCCCGUGCUUCCCAAAUAUUUUGUUACUUCUAAAUUUCUGAUGCAACCAUUGAAUUCAAACACGAACACCAGUGCAAACAUUGCUUAGACAGCAGGAAGACACCUUUGAGCUAUUAGUAGAUGUUCUUCUUGAUGCCCACUAGCUCAAUCAUGGAAAUUUUAUGCAUGAUUCGAUUGCACUUGAGCUAUAUGUAAAAUGCUCUAUUUGAGCCAUCAGUUCAGUUGCUUUCCUUUUUUAAAUUUUUCUUUCUAGUUAUAUGUUUACUUGCUGUAGGAAUUUUUUGUUUUUGAUCAAAAGAGCAGGUUUGUAUGGAUACGGAGUCGAUGAAGGAGUUCAUACUGUGUGAAUACAACAGGGAUGCGGAUUCAUAUAGGUAAACAGUUGAAGUUGAAGAACCAUUCUCAUAAUCUCUGAUUAUGGUUUCUGAUGUACUGAAUUCUUUUAGGGAAAUUUAAGCAUUUGAUGUUGGUUGUACUAGUCCUUUUGUUGUUGUUCUUGUUUUGUAUGAAAAACUGUGCUUUAUAUGGUGGAUUUUCCAUGUUUACAAUUUGUUGAUUAUCAUUUCCGCGUGCAGAUCGCCUUGGUCAAACAAAUAUUUUCCACCUCUGGAAGAUGGGCCGCUACCAUCAGACGAACUGAGGAAACUUGAAAUUGAAGCAAAUGAGGUUUUUGCUGUUUAUCGUGACCAGUGAGGUCCUUUACUUUCCAGAUCUUUUUUUCUUUUUUUCUUUUUUUUUUUUUUUGCUGUCAUGAUUUUGUAUGAUGCUUAUGAGCUGGAUUUUUUUUUCCCUUUAAAGAUAUAAAGAGAUAUUUGUCUAUCAUCUGUUCAAUUUAUUUCUCUAUUCAGCCCGAGAAAUUAUAAUGUUGCCUUUGUUUCUAAGGAAGUAAUAGUAAUUCUUCUGUUCAAACUGCAUUGUUAGGUAUUAUGAAGGAGGUGUCUCAUCAGUGUACAUCUGGGAAAAUGACAGCCAGGGCUUUGUGGCAUGUUUCUUAAUAAAGAAAGGUAAGGCUUCUAUUGCAAAACAGUUUCUUUUUCUUUUUCUUUUUCCUUUUCUCUCUUCUUUUUUUCUUUCCUGCUGGCACAAUAGUAACAUUGGUUGUAACAACAUGUAAUUGUUUUUGGGAAUGAAGAUGGAUCGAAGACAGGGCAUGGGAGGAGAGGACAUUUGCAGGAGGGUUCAUGGGAUGCUAUUCAUGUUAUUGAGGUGAGCGUGAUUUUGAUGGAAGAUUGACUCCUGCCGAAUGACUUAAGUUGCACAGUAUAUUUCAUAUGGUCUGAAUACUUUAAUCAUUAAAUCUUCAUUUGCCCAUGUAGGUUGGACCAGAAGAAGAGGGAAAUGCUCAUUACUGCCUAACCAGUACUGUUAUGUUAUCAUUGACCACAGAAGAGAAGCCAUCAGGAACUUUCAAUCUGUCAGGAUCAAUCAGAAGACAGGUACUUGGUGUGAUAAUUUCUUGCCGUUUUUGUUUUCUAACUUUCUGAUAUUUGGCUGUGCUAUAAUGCUUUGGACUUAGGGGACGACCUUGAUGCAUAUCCUUCUGCCCAAAUAUAACCACCUUUUUGUAGGCUUUAGUAUAUUAAACAUGUUAGGGCUUGUUCCAUACAAUAAGUACCUAGAAUUUGAUAAGUUGGGCCUAAGGCUGAAUGCUUUAAGUUUUGUAAUUUUAUAAGUUGGUACCACAUUGUUUGUCAUCAUGGUGGUUUGGUACAUCCAUGUACUCAUAAUAGAUAUAUUUAAUGAGCAACUCAGCUGUCAGGUAUCAUGUUUCCUGGUAAAAGCCACAGUAGUUUCAGUGAUUAGACAAAGUUGCUACGAGUGCAAACAUAGCGGACUAAACAUGUGCAUACUCUCUUGCAUGUGCAUCUGGUUGCAGAAUAAAUUUCGAGGGAAUAAGAAGAAAUUAUCUGGGUACUGUAGAAAGGACGGGCAUAUUCCAUUGGAUAAGUGUCUUUUGGCAUUUGGUUGGAAGAAUAAGUAGGAAGGAAUAUAGUGUAUUAAAUACGCUUGGGAUUUUGCAGUGAUUCGUCUUUCAUCACAGAAACAAAAUUACCCUCCCACUUUUGUGUGCACUUAAUAGUGGAUGGGAGGGAAUAAGCCUAUUCCAACCCUCCCCAAGUAAGAGGGACGGGGUUUAUCUUGCUGGCCAAAAAGACCGUUUGGCAUAGGGAAGAGGGAUAUCCCUCACAUGGUAUGGGGAACAAAUUGGGUUAUCCUGCUGGCCAAGAAGACCGUUUGGCAGGUUGGGACAUGGGAAUUAUCCUCCCACUUUUUUCCCAUCCAAAUGCAGCCUAAGCCCAACUCACUUACCUAUAGGGUGCUUUAGGUAGAUUCCUUCUUGAAUUUUAGGCUAUUAUUCAGCAUUUUUGAACUACUUCAUUUUUGGUUAAGUCGGGUCCAACUUUAUACUAGUUGAAUUGGACCAAUCAAGAUUAGGGUUCAAGAUGCAUAGGGGAAACAUCCCGGGUCCUCCUGACUGACCCACUUUUACCCCAAAUAGUCAGCAAGCUUCUUGUGAAUUAGCUAGGUUUAUGAGCUUUAAUAGCUGGUAAAGUUACAAUCAGCUAGUUCAAAAAAUUUUAUUCGUAUUUUCUCUUCUCUUAAUUUUAGUUUGGAAACUACAGUUUUGGGUUAUACAUUUUGAAUCAUAUAUUCACUAUAACCUUUAUCAACACCGAUAUGCUUUUGAUUCUACAGAUGAGUUCAGACCUUUCGGUAGCAGAGGGCCACAUGUGUAACAUGGGAAAGAUGAUAGAAGAAAUGGAGGGCAAGCUCAGGAACUCACUGGAUCAGGUAACUUCGUUUUUGUCUAAUUAAACCAUUUGAUGGUUUUCCAUGAUCAUAUGAGCCAACCUGCUGCUAUCUGAUGGACCGUAUUUUGCCUACAUGGAAUUGCCUAUAAAUUAGUGUGUCCUGCAGCCAUUAUAUCGAAUCAGUCUAUAAGAUUGGUUUUAUCUUGGACCUUUGAAUUCUUUUCUUAGUUCAUUACCUCAUGCCCUUGCAGGUCUAUUUUGGGAAGACAAGAGAGAUGGUCUGCACAUUGAGACCACCACCUGAGGGCAUACAAUUUAGAUUGCCUGAAAGCUGACCCAAAAGGUGAAAGGUGCAGCAAUCAUUUGCAUCCAAUGAAUUAGAACUUUGGUAUUAAAGAAAAUUUGGACACAUGGAGUGACACUCAUGGCCCUGUGAAAUUUAGGUUGCAGUCCUGAGGAUGAUAAAAAAGUACUUACUUGUCUGGUGGAAACGUUCAUAUUUCAGUAUGUUGAGUUUGUAUCAUACAGUUAAAAACUCGUAGGAAUUUGGUGCUGAGUUCUAUAGAACACUGCAGUAUACUUGAGUAGAAGAACAUUUACUGUUGCAGUAUUUGUGAUUUUACCUUCUGGACAUGGUAUCCUAAGUAUCAUCAAAUCAAGUGAGGGGUUUUAAUGCCGUGGAGCAAAACCUUUUAUAUGAUCAGGUGGUAUAGAAACACCAAGCAUACAUGAAAUUGCAUUGGAUGUUUUUGGUCUUCCAGCCGAGACCUUCUUAAGUUGUCCUGGCUGGCUUUCACAAAAACUGCACAAAUUCUUCAGGGGAUAAAAUUCAGGGAACAUUUAGUGGUAUGAAGAAUUGGUUGGAACACUAAUUUCAACAAUAUAUUUUCUAUUUAUUUGUUUCAUUAGAAAAAUUAUGAUUAUUCCCUGAAGAUUUUUCUUUUUUUCAUAAAAAAAUGCUAUUUUUCCCUUUUCUUUUCUAUGAAUUUUCUUUCAACCACACAUAUCAUUAACAAAAUAAAAUAAAAUCCAGAGUAGUUUAAUAUGGUUUUCAUCUUUCGACUGUGUAUAAAAUGUCAACAAAGUUACAAAACUAUACGCCACUAUUAUAUCUUCGUUUGUCAAAGAACUAAAGCCAUAUCUGAUAUUAUUAAGAAAAAUCCCAGUGUUUCACAUAUACCANNNNNNNNNNNNNNNNNNNNNNNNNNNNNNNNNNNNNNNNNNNNNNNNNNNNNNNNNNNNNNAUAUGAUGUCCACUUUGCGCCUUUCGUAUCCUGACACGAGAUAUUUUUGUGUCCAAGGUAUUUCAACGUUUCUAUCUUCUUAAUGCGAGACUACUUUUUGGUGUCUAGCGAGAAGAGUAAAAGUUAUUAAUCUUUCUUUCACUAUUUUUAUUAAUAUAUCAGUUUAUGGCUGCUCCAUCUGUACAUCUCAAUCCUGAAAUUGAGAUUUUGGACUCAUCUUGGCCCAUUCGUUACUAUAUCUUAAUCAGCAAGCGUUCAUUGCACCGCUUCUCCAGAUUUCAUCUUCAUGGAAAAAUACCAGAAGCUGAGUUCCUCUAAUAUCAUGCAUCAGCAGAGCCAAGACCGCCCCAGAUAACAGCUUCUAAACCGAUCUGAAUCUGCCAAAAUUCUAUCAUAAACUAGCGAUCUGUUUAAUCCUACUUAUUCUUUUUCUUCCACGUCUAUGGAUCUGUGCACCAAUAUCUCCCAUUCUCCCGUUAACCUAUAUUUUCGCUAUCCAUUAUAAUCCAUUUACUCAAAAAAAACACAUUAAGAACUUAAAUUAAUCCAUCCAUAAACCCGGCUUUCUCCAAUUGCCACUUAAAUGGACCCUAAGUACGUUCCUAAGAAGGCAUGUCAAUUCUAGGUUCGUGCGAUAUUUCUCCAAAAUAACCACAUAAUGAGGCAUGAAGGACAGGACAGAUUUCAAUUCCACGAAUUAUGGAGACAGUGAUUCCAUGCCUCAAAGCAUGUCUUCUGAAAUUCUGCAAUCAGGGAUACAACCAUGACGAGUUCCAAAAAUUUGGCUGAGCUGCUUCCAUCAUAACUUGGUCGUCCUACCCAGACCCAGACUUGCAUUCCCCCUCGAAAAGCCCAUGAACUGGGAGCAAAAAUUGAUCGAGAACCGAGGCAUACUCAAUAACCACAGACUGAGAACAUGACAUAAGUCCCAGCUAUCCGUGACUAAAUGAUUUUGCCAUAAAAGCAGUAUAUCCAAAUAUUGCAACUCUUUUUAAGUCUCAAAUUGCCUUUACUAACAUCUCAAAAUUAAAGCAAAAAUGAAACAGGACAUCCGGCAUUCCCCAAAACGAGGGCAUCGCCUUUAACAUAUGUCAAAGUUCCUCACAGGAGUUAAUAAGAGGGAAAUCUCAGCCGGCUGGAAAGCCUCAUGCUUUUGGCUCGGAUUCAUUAGUAGCUGCAGCUUGGGCUACCUCCUCCACAUUACUACCUUCUGCCUUGUUCUCUUCCGUUUCAUUAUCUGCUUUAGCGACAACACAGUCCAAUCAAUAACAGAAAUCUAUUAAUUACCAUAAACCAACCACAUAAAAUAUAAAAGAGAAACAAUAUUAUUCUGAAAACAAAUUAGAACCUAAGAACAAUUUUAAGCCAUGUAUUUAAGUUAGCUCACUGCACUCCUGAAUCACAACUAGGUGGCUCAAAAUGGAAAAUAUCUGAAGUAACGGCUAAAAGAAGGUAUAAUAUUUACCUCCACGAACUAAAGAUUUGGACUUCCUAGAAAUAAACAUGAUAAAGUCUACCAUCUACGUGCCAAUAGAAGAACAACUAUAUACUACACUAUACAAGCUACCGUUCAACCAAAUGUGUAUAUCAAGCUAUUAAUCUUGAUAGAAUGAAAGCAUUGCUAACCUCCAUCCUUGUCAAUGUCAAUGGCAUCAGCAGCAUCGUCUUCAAGCUCAUCAUCAGCACCACCCAUGUCCAACUUCUGCACAAGUAAAAAGAGGGUGAGAAACUCAAGAAGAGAACGCACAACAACAGACGGAUCUUGAAGAAAAUACAUACCGAGAAGUCCAUACCGCCGAAGUCCAUAUCUCCAACUGCACAGAGAACAAUAUUUCAUAAUUAAAAGUAAGUUAAAGAGAACAAUCAGAAAAUAAAAGAAAGAAGAUACAAUCAACAAUUUAGAAUAAUAUGCACUAGAAGAUGCCUGAAACAGCAGACUCACAUCUACUAUGUUCAUUGUCAUCAUCUUCAUCAAUCCAUUUGUCCCAAUCAACCUUCAAGAACACAGGAGGCUUCCCCUCCUUCUUCAGCAGCCUGCUCCACCAUUUCUUCUCAGCUUUCUUCACUAGGUAGCAUAUGUUCCUCAAUCCAAUAGCAGCUUUGCUCUCCUGCAAUGUUCUCAUGGAUGCCAGUUACAACAUUUUCAUUCCUAACAGGGACUAUUACAAGAAUUCUUGUCCUAUUUGUGCACCUACCUCCACGCUGACCUUGUCCAAUAAUUCAAAGUCGAUCUCAUACGGCGUAUUAUCUGCUCCACUAGUUGCGGAGAAAUAAAAGUGCCCAUCUGGUUGCAGGUUCAAUUUCACAUCCUUUGCAUCCGGUAGCUCAAUGGUGAGAUACACCUUAUCAGAUCUUUGAGCCCACUUUGUAGUUGGAUGUCGACUGCGAACCAAAGAUACAAGAAUAAGUUAGCUCUGAAAUUUUAGGCAUUAGAAAUCAAAUUCUUGCCUGCCAGAGAACUUUCAUUCUUAUCAGGAUAAAAGAAUCAUAGCUGCUCGCAGCAAGCAACCAAAAAACUUGCAUGCGGUCACACAUCUCGACCAAAAAAGUUCACUGUUUGCUUGGUGAUCAAGUUGAAAAUUAUUAAACAGGAAGAAGAGCGCAGUUUCAUCAUGAAACUCUAAAGUUCAUAGCAGACGAUAAGCAGAACAUACCCUAAAGUAAUAAUUCGCUGAUAUAUGUACGUGGAUGUGUGUGUAUGUGUGUGUAUGGAUGUACGCGCACACACACAUACACAUACAAGCACGCACACACGCAUAUAUUCAUUAGCUGUGAUUUCUUUUCAAGUUCCAGCUUUUGUAAACAGCUAAAUGAUGAGUUUUUUUAAAAAGUAUAAAUACAUAUAUCAGAUGAAAUCCUACACAAGCAAAUCAGCACCUGAAGAAAUUCUACGCAAUUAAUAGAUCGCCAGUGAGUGAAUAGCUAGAUUUCUAAACAACCAAAUCCUCCCAUGCAUGCUUAUACAACAUAUGACCCAAACAAAUUAGAAUCAAAGAGAACAAAACCAGGGAAAUCCUUGAAAAAACAGCAGUUUCCACAGGACACAGUGGAUUUCCUUCCCAAACUUAAUCCCACUAAAACUAGUAAACAUAAAGGCAUACCAAUCUGAAUUAAAUGAACAAAAAUUGGCCGAUGUCUUCGAGCUCAAUAACUUCGAAGCACCCAUAAGUCUCCAGUUCCUAUCUAUCCAUUACAUAAUCUUCUUUCUUGCAGUGAAGAAGUUGCGGUCCUCCUAAUCUUAGCUUCUUCUUCUUUCUUUUUUUUCGUUUUUUUUUUUUUUUGUUUUUUUUUUGGGGGGGGGGGGGGUACCAUCCUACUAUUCUACUAUUCUGUUGAAUGAUAAAAUCAUCGCAUACACAUAGAACAAUUACUUAAACUCGUUUUCAUUAAAAGCCAAUUUAUUUAUGCUAAUUAGCAGAUGUUAAAAAAACCCGCCCAAAACCCUAAAACCUAAACCACUUUGUAUCAAGAGAAGAGGAUAAGGAAAUGCUAAUAGAGACGCAAAAAUUUGAAUAAAUUCAUAUGAGAACAAAAAGAAUCAAAUUUCUCCCAUGAAAAACCAAAAAGAAUCAUUCAAUCAUCAAACAAGUAGCAAAAUAAAGACAAAAAAUUCUUUAAAAACUGAAAAAUAGUGUUUUGACUAUCGGAAAUAGAGGAAACAAGAAACAAGAAGAUUACCUCAUCGUUGCGAUGGCUUUAGGUUCCGACGGAGAGCAGAAAGGAAGACAAGAAAUGGCCGGCAAUGGGAUUCUUUUUGGGUACAAAUCUCUCUCUUUUGGAGCAAAGAAGUGGGUGAGCGCCCACGCGAAUAUAUAAUGAGAGACGGAGGGGGAGGGAGGCAAAAGGCCCUUCCAUACGAGUCUAGAGGAUUCUAUUCCUCCACCGCCUCUCUUGGAGGAUCACCGUGCCAUUGGAUGAUCUGGACCGUCCACACGAUGAGCCCAUCGAUAAACUAUCAUUUGUCAUCCGGAUAUUGGCCCAUCCGUGUGACCUAUCAGGGUUGCAUGCUGUGGGCCCUAUAGAAAUUUUAAAUGUGGAUCGACCUUUCUCGAAAUAAUAAAUAUUUUUUUUUAGCGUAGAGAAUUUUGAAUAUACACCCCUGAGAUCUAGGUACUUAUAUGUAAAAUUUUUGCUUUUGCAUAUUAAGCCUUGUAAUUUCAUGUGAUUGGUAUUGAUCCAUCAAUGCGGUUGAAAAACUUUUGUUAUGAAGAUGUACGCAAUGAAUACCAUGUGGGAAACAAAUUAAAGAUGUUAAGACUAAAAUUAUUAUAAAUUGUGCAUUACUCUGGCCAUCUCUUGAGGCUACAUUUGGAUGCCAAAUAGUUAACUAAGAGGUAGAUGGAUUUAACCAUUUAUAGCUGGCUCCAAAUCAAAUAACCACUAGUUAACAUUCCUAGAUUUAGCAGGAUAAGUUUCGGUAGUUAAUUUUGUAUCAACCUCCCUAAUAAAUAAAGUCAAUCAAGUUAGCUUAUAUUUCUGGAGAGAUGGAUUAAAGUUAUGGCAACAUUUACUGGUGCAUAUGCAAACAUCCUUUUAUAAUUAUUCAUUUGAAAUUACUUUAUGAAAAAUGCGAAGUUUUUAUCUCAAUCGAGGUAUCAAAUUGUAGAUGCAUUAACCACUAACGUAUAUGAUAUAGCCAAUAUACAAUCUUUAUUAUGUCCAUCAUUAAAAAUAAAGAUGUAUUGAGAUAUUUAUGGAUGCAAUAAUAAUAUAUCAAUUGAAUUGCUUUGAUCAAUCGCAUACAUAAGGUAAUUCUUAUAUUAUUAAAUAUUCAAAUCGACUUGUAUAUGCUAUAUCGGUUGAUAAUUUCAUCUCUAGGAUCCUAUAAUAGUAGCUGGUGUUGCGCAACCUGUCAUUUCUCUUCUAUUUUUCUUACAAUAUAUCUCGGUUGAAACAAAUUGAAAUCUCGAUUCACCUCAUUAUCAACCACAUACUAAGAUCUUCUAAAUAUAUGGUUUUAAAUAUAGUGGAUAGUCCUUUCCUAAAGCCAAUUAAACUUACAAAAACAUUAUAUUAACUAUGUCAGCCUUACACCUAUCAUGCUUUUCUACUUUAGUGUUUUCUCUAAUUUCUAUGUUGUGGCACAUUGAGCAAAUUAGCUUGUAUCUUGAUGAUUGCUUUGUAUUAAAAAGACUGGGUAGAGAAUAAUUAAGAGUUAAAAGUUGUAUUCAAUGUAAUUAUGCAAAUAUUUCUUUACAAAAAUUGACAUUAUGUUUUGCUUCCUAGGUAUAGCUUUCUACAUUUUUUGUUUGUUUGUUUUUUUUUUUGCUAAAACGGAUAUUUCAUACAUCACGGAUACAAAUACACCCAAUAGAGUCAGAAAAUAAAAAUUCCCGAAGCGCUCCAGGCAACUCUCUCUCCGUAGACCAUAAGGUACCUCCUGAGUGGCUCGCAACAUAUGCCGCUACCCAGUCAGCCGCUCCGUUGGCUUCACAAUAUAUAUGCAUGGCCUGGAAUGUGACCUCCCUCGCCAUCUCCCAAAUAUCACAGAGCAGGGGGUGAACACCCCCACAGCUGCUCGAGCCCUUUCUACGUUUUUCAAAAGAAUGAAAUUAACUAGGGUUUGGGAGAUUAGGGCUAGUUUGGAGCUCAUUGCCUAGGCCCUUUUGUAAAAAAGAAAAAAUAUCAUAGUCAUUAACUAUUUAACUUAUAUAAUAAAAAAUAAGGAAUAUUAUUUAGAGUUAGGCUAGGAUGCUUUGGAGAGUAUUUGGGCUUCAAAAUCUUUUUAGUCAAAAAUUAUGAAAGACCUCUUGGCAUGAAAAUCAACACCAUUGGCAAUGAUGUAACAUAAAUAUAUAUAUAUAUAUAUAUAUAUAUAUANNNNNNNNNNNNNNNNNNNNAAUAUAUAUAUAUAUAUAUAUAUAUAUAUAUAGUAGCUAAAAUUUUAUAUUUUUUUAGAUCUCCAAUAUAAGCAUCAAGUUAAGAAAAAAAAUGAAUGGUAAAAAUAAAUAAUAUAAUUUGUAAUUUCAGACUGUCGAUCUUAAUCUAAAUAUUUCAAAACAUACAUAGAUCAAAUUUUAGUUAAUUUGGAUGUUUCUCAACUGUAUAUCAAAAUGAAACAUGGUAUCAUAUUGUCGAGAUGAUCAAAUUUGUUUUCAUUUGAUGAAUGCGCAAAAGGCAUAAAAUACAUUUUACUUUAUGGCAGAUUUUAAUAUUAUAAAAUGUAAUAAAUGAUGCUAAUUUUUAUUUUGAAAGAUCCUUCAUUAUUUUUGACUAGAAAGCAUCAAGAGCCAAAUAUUCUCUAAAGUAUUAUCAACCUAACUUAUAUUGCAUGAUAGUAGUUAUAAAAAUAUUCAGUAAUUCAAACUAUGACAAUCUGUUAUGGAAAAUUAUAAUUGCAUUCAUAUUGUUAAAACAUAAAUGCCUUUAACAAUUGAGCUUCCAUUCUAGAAAUUAUGCAUGGCUUUGUACAUCUCAUUAUAUUAUGUUUUCUUAAGAAAAACUAGUGAAUAAGCCUCCCUCUCUUUUCAAUAAUUACUAAGAAUUUAGGAGUUCACAUAUCUAAAAUUUAUUAUAUCUAUUAUCACUGUUGCUGGAAAUUGGACCCGGGGGCGGUCGUCGGUUGAGGAGGGGGAGCGGUCGGUGGACACAGGAGAGUGGCGGUCCGUCGGCGAGCGGCGUCCUCCAUCGGAGUGCCUGCAGAAAAGCCGGUGGCCGGGUUUUCCGGCGCCGGCCCUCCGAUGCUUAAGUCAGAGGGGGGAAACUGUGUUUAAAGGAGAAAGAAGAGAAGUUUUUCAGAGUUUCCUGUGUUCAACCCCCCUUGAGAAGCAAGGGUCCCCUUUUUAUAGGGGGGU
rnacentral:lncRNA from 1 species